UGCAUGCGGCCCCUCCGCCGCCCGCCGGACGGUCGGAGGAGCCGAGCAGCGCCCUCUCCACGUGCGCGGGGCUCGCCGCCCUCCGCCCUUCCCGGAGGAGCCACGGCGACCCGCCGCGUCCUCGGAACCCGGUCCCCCAGACUCCCGAGCACUCGGGCUUGCGGGCGGAGGGACUCACGCAGCACCGCGUAAACACGGAGUUGGAGGACCGACGCGGAGCCCAGUGGAGCGAAUAACCCGCCUUCUCACGAGUCCCGAGGGUGCGCGCUCCUGGCUCCGUCUCCCGCUGUUUUUUUUUUUUCCCCCCCCCUCUGGGGAGCUUUGCCAUCCUUCCCAGCCCUCAGGACACCGAGGUUAAGAUCAAGAGAGAAGAGGUGUUGAAGCCUAAGAUUUCCUGAGCCCGGACUGUGAACCGAGCCCUUGACCCAGGAGAAACAGUUUGCCCAAGAGUUCAAACACAAGAACUCGUCACUCAGUCACAGGACGGGAUCUCUAGCCCGGUCACGGGGAUGCCAGAACUCACCUGUGCGGCCUGCAGAGCGCCUUAGUGAAAUAAGUGUAGCGGUGUUGGAUGGACAGUCGGGCACGCCAGGGAACAGCUACCACUGACACUCGCAGGCCCAGACACAGAAACCUUUGAUGCGUUUUAAAGCUUUAUUUUAUUUUAAACUACGCGUGUAUGUGGGUAUAUGCUUGAGAUGAGCAUACAAGUACCGGUUGGAGGCCAGGAGCUUCAGAUCCCCUGGAGCUGGAGAUACAGGCAGUGACUGUAAUAUAGAGAGUGAACCAAUGGGGCCAUCAGCCCUAUGUCUAAAGAUGGGGACAGAGACAGGAGGGAAGAGUGAGCCAUGGUCCAGGCAUCCCAGGCACACGCUCAGCAAAGCACAGAGUCGAAGUUCGUGCUCCUUAUCAGUUUCACUUUAGGACUUGGGUCACCCGACCCGGCGGAGAGCGAAGAAGAGUCGCCUGAGGUGACAGAGCUUGCUCAAGUCCGUGCUGAGCUUCGACUCAGGUGGCCAGAGUGGAGCUUUCCAGCUGAGCCUCACCACGAGGCUGAGUCACUUGUCCGAGGUUCCAGUGGUGAAGCCAAGAAGCCAGGAAUCCAAGGUCACGGCCCACCUGAGGGAAGAAGACCACUAACUAACUUUUCCAGGAACCAUCUGGGUGACCUUGGCCACGUGAUCUGGACAGCUUCUUGGCGGGUGGCUUUAGUGUUUCCAGUUUUACAGAGGCAGGCACCUAGGGACGUUAAGAAAGUACCUUGCCUUCGGGCACUAACCCCUUUUCCAACUGAGCCACACCCCUUAGGACCCCAACUUUUCAUUUUCCCUGUGUGUGCCCUGAUGUUUGGCCUGCAUGGAUGUCUGUGUGAGGGUGUUGGAUCCUCUGGCCCUGGAGGUACAGACGCUUGUGAGCUGCCUGUGGGUGCUGAGAAUCGAACCUCAGUCUUCCCGGAAGAGCAGCCAGUGCUCUAAACGGCCAAGCCACCUAGCUCUCCAGCCCCCAUCCUCCAACUGUAUUCUUAAUCAGAAGGAAGUGUCCCCUUCUGAUCAAGAAAAAGGUGCUGGCCCUAGGGGAGAAGGCUUGUUUGUUCCUCUUUGUUGUUUUUCUGAGAUGUAGGGGGACCUGGAACCCCGUCUCAUCUAUAGUCAUUUAUAGAAACACACCAGGUAUGUGUGUUUCCAGACAAGCUAGACUCCAGCUCACUGUGUAGCUGAGGUUGACUUGGUCCUCCCUCCUCUACUCACCCAAACUCCAAACUGGGAUUACAGCACCAUGUCUGGCAGGAGGCUCAUGUUCUUGAAUGAACUACUUUCUUAGCACACCUGGGCCUAUUAGGUUUUUUUGGUUGGUUUUUUUUUUUUUUUUGAGAUAGGGUUUAUCUGUGUAGCCCUCACUGUCUUGGAACUCUCUCUGCAGACCAAGCUGGUCUCAAACUUGGCCAUCUCUCUACUUCUGCCUCUCUAGCGCUGGGAUUUAAGGUAUGUACCACCACAAUCAGCUUUAAUUUUGUUUCUGUCUUGAGACAAGGACUCUCUGCAGAGCCCUGCCUGUGCUGGAACUCACUGUGUAGACCAGGCUGGGCUGGAACUCAUAAAAAGCAGCCUGUCUCUGCCUCCAGGGUUAACUGCCAGGCUCAGUGGCACAGGCCUGUAAUCCCAGCAAUUAGGGAGGCAGAGGCAGGCGGAUCUCUGAGUCUGGGGUCUACAAAUUGAAUCUGGGACAGCAGAAGCUACACCGAAAAGCCCUGUCUCGAAAAACAACUACUACGUAUUACCUUAUUUAAGCAUCCCUUAAACUCUGGCUUGCUAGAACAGUUUGACUAGGAAUGAGGACACCUGCUUUAGAACUUCCGUGACAUCAGGCAUGUGGCUCCCUUUGGACCUUGUUUUCCAACUAGGGCAAGACUAUCAAGAUCUUCCAAGUUUUAAGGGCUGGCUGUUAUUUAAUGGAGACCGGAGAGUGAGCCUUAAGGGCUCCUCCUCUUAACUGCCUGGAGGCCACACGGUCUCCUGGACUCCUCGGAUCCCAGCCAGGUCCAGAGGGCACGGGUAAGGAGCAAAGCAGGAAUGGGUGGGGUGAUCUCCGAACAGGCACCAACCUGCCUAGUCACCUGGGCCCGUGAGCCCUAGGAGGGUACAGCAAAGAGCAUUUUUGAAAUAUUCUGGCCUGAGUCCCUGGGCUCACCCAAACAUGCAGAAGCCUGUCUGCUGCCCGGUGGCACUAGGGGCAUUCCAUAAGUCUGCUCCGGUCCCUAUCCUCAUGGGGAGGACUCUUGAUUCUCUGACCGUGGCUUGUGCAGGCUCCUAUACUGUAUGAGUCCCAGUAAACUAGGUGAACCUGUCUGGUUUUCGAUUGCCUUUUUAAGGGUCCAAAAAGGCUGCUACGCCCACUGGUCCACAGAGGAGCUGGGCAACAGCAAAGCACAGGUCUGGGCUCUGAUCUGUAAAGCCAGAUCCUUCAGAAGCUGGGAACAAUGUGUGUUCUGCUCAUGCAUCACAACCAUGCUAUGCUUGUUUGUGGUCAACAAAAAAACCCAGGUGGUGGAGAUACGGCUCAGCUGUUAGCAAGUUAAGAGCACGGCCUGUUCUUUCAGAGGACCAGGGUUCGAUUCCCGGCAUCCACCUCAUAAUCAUCUGUAAUUCCAGUUCCAGUUUCCACAAACACCAGGCGUGUCGUGGUGCACAGACAUACAUGCAGGCGAACCAUUCAUGCUCUUAAAAAUAAAAAGAGGGGGCUGGAGAGAUGGCCCAGGUGGUUAAGAGCACUGUCUGCUCUUCCAAAGGAUCCAGGUUCAAUUCCCAGCACCCACAUGGCAGCUCACAACUGUCUGUAAUGCCAGUUCCAAGGGAUCUGACACCUUCACACUA